rnacentral:rRNA from 1 species
UCYGGUUGAUCCUGCCRGACCCGACGGCUAUCAGAGUGGGAUUAAGCCAUGCGAGUCAACGUAGCAAUACGUGGCGCACGGCUCAGUAGCACGUAGUCAACAUGCCCAAAGGACGUGGAUAACCUCGGGAAACUGAGUCUAAACCGCGAUGAGUCAAGAUUCCUGGAAUGGUUCCUGACUGAAAUCUAUAUGGCCUUUGGAUUGGACUGCGGCCGAUCAGGCUGUUGGUGAGGUAAUGGCCCACCAAACCUGUAACCGGUACGGGCUCUGAGAGGAGGAGCCCGGAGAUGGGCACUGAGACAAGGGCCCAGGCCCUAUGGGGCGCAGCAGGCGCGAAACCUCUGCAAUAGGCGAAAGCCUGACAGGGUUACUCUGAGUGAUUUUCGUUAAGAAAGUCUCUUGGCACCUCUAAAAAUGGUGCAGAAUAAGGGGUGGGCAAGUCUGGUGUCAGCCGCCGCGGUAAUAACAGCACCCCGAGUGGUCGGGACGAUUAUUGGGCCUAAAGCAUCCGUAGCCGGUUCUGCAAGUCUCCCGUUAAAUCCAACUGCUCAACAGGUGGGCUGCGGAGGAUACUACAGAGCUAGGAGGCAGGAGAGGCAAGCGGUACUCAGUGGGUAGGGGUAAAAUCCGUUGAUCCAUUGAAGACCACCAGUGGCGAAGGCGGCUUGCCAGAAUGCGCUCGACGGUGAGGGAUGAAAGCUGGGGGAGCAAACCGGAUUAGAUACCCGGGUAGUCCCAGCCGUAAACGAUGCAGACUCGGUGAUGGGUUGGCUUCGCGCUAACCCAGUGCCGCAGGGAAGCCGUUAAGUCUGCCGCCUGGGUAGUACGGUCGCAAGACUGAAACUUAAAGGAAUUGGCGGGGGAGCACCACAAGGGGUGAAGCCUGCGGUUCAAUUGGABUCAACGCCGGR